UACGUAGGAUGCAAGCGUUGUCCGGAAUUAUUGGGCGUAAAGAGCGAGCAGGCGGUUUGGAAAGUUGGACGUGAAAUUUUAGGGCUUAACCCUAAAGGGUCGUCCAAAACUCCCAGACUAGAGUGCAGGAGAGGAAAGCGGAAUUCCCGGUGUAGUGGUGAAAUGCGUAGAUAUCGGGAGGAACACCAGAGGCGAAGGCGGCUUUCUGGCCUGUAACUGACGCUGAGGCGCGAAGGCUGGGGUAGCGAACAGG
rnacentral:rRNA from 2 species